rnacentral:rRNA from 1 species
CCUACGGGUGGCAGCAGUGGGGAAUAUUGCACAAUGGGCGAAAGCCUGAUGCAGCAACGCCGCGUGAAGGAAGACGGUUUUCGGAUUGUAAACUCCUGUUUUUAGUGAAGAAUAAUGACGGUAACUAAGGAGCAAGCCACGGCUAAAUACGUGCCAGCAGCCGCGGUAAUACGUAGGUGGCAAGCUUUAUCCGGAUUUACUGGGUGUAAAGGGGGCGUAGACGGCAGCACAAGUCUGGAGUGAAAUCCCGGGGCUUAACUCCGGAACUGCAUUGGAAACUGUGCGGCUGGAGUGCGGGAGGGGUAAGCGGAAUUCCUAGUGUAGCGGUGAAAUGCGUAGAUAUUAAGAGGAACACCGAUGGCGAAGGCGGCUUACUGGACUGUAACUGACGUUGAUGCACGAAAGCGUGGGGAGCAAACAGGAUUAGAUACCCCUGUAGUC